CUAUCUUUUGACAAAUAAAGAGCGAGUUAUCUGUUCUUAUCAGCUUAAUAUCUGAUACAGUCCCCAUAGGGGACUCAGAAUAUUAAACUGAUUUUUGCAACCAGGCGGGGUUCCGGGGCUUGCUCCGACCCUACCGCGGGUCGACUCGGCAUUGCAGUGCCGUCGAGUUCGGCCCAAUAAAU